rnacentral:rRNA from 1 species
AGUGAACGCUGGCGGUAGGCCUAACACAUGCAAGUCGAACGGCAGCACAGUAAGAGCUUGCUCUUACGGGUGGCGAGUGGCGGACGGGUGAGGAAUACAUCGGAAUCUACUUUUUCGUGGGGGAUAACGUAGGGAAACUUACGCUAAUACCGCAUACGACCUACGGGUGAAAGCAGGGGAUCUUCGGACCUUGCGCGAUUGAAUGAGCCGAUGUCGGAUUAGCUAGUUGGCGGGGUAAAGGCCCACCAAGGCGACGAUCCGUAGCUGGUCUGAGAGGAUGAUCGGCCACACUGGAACUGAGACACGGUCCAGACUCCUAGGGGAGGCAGCAGUGGGGAAUAUUGGACAAUGGGCGCAAGCCUGAUCCAGCCAUACCGCGUGGGUGAAGAAGGCCUUCGGGUUGUAAAGCCCUUUUGUUGGGAAAGAAAAGCAGCAGGUUAAUACCCCGCUGUUCUGACGGUACCCAAAGAAUAAGCACCGGCUAACUUCGU